UACGGGGGGGGCAAGCGUUGUUCGGAAUUACUGGGCGUAAAGGGCUCGUAGGCGGCCAACUAAGUCGGAUGUGAAAUCCCCAGGCUUAACCUGGGAACUGCAUCCGAUACUGGUUGGCUUGAAUCCGGGAGAGGGAUGCGGAAUUCCAGGUGUAGCGGUGAAAUGCGUAGAUAUCUGGAGGAACACCGGUGGCGAAGGCGGCAUCCUGGACCGGCAUUGACGCUGGGUGAGCGAAAGCCAGGGGAGCAAACGGG
rnacentral:rRNA from 1 species